rnacentral:lncRNA from 1 species
UUCUAUCUUUUCGUUUUUCCUCUCAUUACUCUUCCUUCAAUCGCCUCUUGGAAAGCCUCAUUGUCAUCUAUGUGUCUAAAUUUUCUGUAGAAACUGAGAUCCUAAAACAGCUACUGCUCUUUCAUCCAUCUAAAACAAACUUAGAAUUAAGGACUUUUUUCCAGCUUAUGUUUCUUUUGAUCGCCCUCACCAUCGGUGCCAAAUACACGUCCGAUUGACGAACGACUUUCGAAUUCGUAGGAGAUGGCACAUUGAGUGGACGGAACACACCUGUUUAUGCGAAGACUUUAGCUUUAGGAUUGAGCAACGAAACAAUGGUGUGCUUGCACUUCCUCAAGGUUUCACCGGCAACGCUUACGUCCUGGCUAAAUCGCUAUUAAUUACCCCAACGCUCUGCUGCAAUAUAUCUCAUUUACUCACACAAAGCCAUGUCCAACAUUUAACUUCCUCGGGCGCGACAAGGGCCCGGAGAAGAAGCUUCAAAUUAGUAGAUGGUGAUAGCUUCAACGAUGACUUCCUCCCAUCACGGCUGCAGAAACUUUACCUGCUCGAUGAAGAUGAUACCAAUAGUACUAUAGAGUUCUGCGAGUUUCAUGGUGUUAAAGUACCAUGAGAAUGUCCAUAAAGAUCACAAUGAUCCUUGUUGUGAAAAUGCCAAAGUUAAACACCAUAUUUAUAUCUCCCUAACAUGACUAGUAUUUUGUACCUGAACUAAUAACAGAAUGAUCCUCACCAGAAAAAGAGAAAGAGAAGGUCAACUACUUCUUUCAUACUAUCAAAUCCGAAAUCAAACCCUGUAUGGGAUAAAAGGAGAUAUUCAAUGUCCGUCGUUCAGUAUUUGA